rnacentral:pre_miRNA from 1 species
UCAACAGAACUCAGUUGGCAGUAUGCCCACCUCCAUAUAUGAUAUCAGAUUAAAAUUUCUUAAUCCUUUCUUAAUAGGAAUGGAGGUGGACAGAAUGCCAAUAAAUUCUGUAGG